rnacentral:rRNA from 1 species
GACGAACGCUGGCGGCGUGCUUAACACAUGCAAGUCGAACGGAAAGGCCCUGCUUUUGUGGGGUGCUCGAGUGGCGAACGGGUGAGUAACACGUGAGUAACCUGCCCUUGACUUUGGGAUAACUUCAGGAAACUGGGGCUAAUACCGGAUAGGAGCUCCUGCUUCAUGGUGGGGGUUGGAAAGUUUCGGCGGUUGGGGAUGGACUCGCGGCUUAUCAGCUUGUUGGUGGGGUAGUGGCUUACCAAGGCUUUGACGGGUAGCCGGCCUGAGAGGGUGACCGGCCACAUUGGGACUGAGAUACGGACCAGACUCCUACGGGAGGCAGCAGUGGGGAAUAUUGCCCAAUGGGCGGAAGCCUGAUGCAGCAACGCCGCGUGCGGGAUGACGGCCUUCGGGUUGUAAACCGCUUUCGCCUGUGACGAAGCGUGAGUGACGGUAAUGGGUAAAGAAGCACCGGCUAACUACGUG